rnacentral:rRNA from 1 species
GAUGAACGCUAGCGGCAGGCUUAAUACAUGCAAGUCGAGGGGCAGCGCAGUGUAGCAAUACAUGGGCGGCGACCGGCAAACGGGUGCGUAACACGUACGCAACCUUCCCGUUACUGUGGGAUAGCCCAGGGAAACUUGGAUUAAUACCACAUAUUGCCAUUGGGAGGCAUCUCUUGAUGGCCAAAGAAUUUUCGGUAACGGAUGGGCGUGCGGUUGAUUAGGUAGUUGGCGGGGUAACGGCCACCAAGCCUACGAUCAAUAGCUGAUGUGAGAGCAUGAUCAGCCACACGGGCACUGAGACACGGGCCCGACUCCUACGGGAGGCAGCAGUAAGGAAUAUUGGGCAAUGGACGAAAGUCUGACCCAGCCAUGCCGCGUGAAGGAUGAAGGUCCUCUGGAUUGUAAACUUCUUUUUU